UCCCUAGUACAAGAACCCCUUUUACUGCCUGCCUCCAGCCUCCCAACUUCCAGGGUGGCCCCUCCCACCAGACCCUACAAAGAACAAAUAGGAGACUUCAAAAUGACCCAAAGCUAAAAAGAUAACAAAUCCAGCAAGGGGCAGAGGCCAGGCAAUAUCAGGGUGCCUAAGGGUUCCCUGCUCUCUGCUGCCUCCCUCCAGAUAGCCAGGGCUGAUGUCUCAGGCCCCUCAGAAGCAAAUCUCUGAUCCCUGUGGCUAACUCCCAGCUUUCACAGCCGCCUGCCCCGAAUUGUAGCUGCCUGCCUGCCUCGCUUUCCCUUCACGAGGCCAUUAUGACUGCUCUUAUAGCCUUGUCUCCUUCUCAACAGGGAGAAAAAGCCUUCUGGGGUCAUUCUGCAGGGAUAGCGGGCCUCAAUUCAAGGCUGUCAGCUCCCAAACUCAUGAAUCCAGACCAUUCUCUCUCUACCUUAUAUUUUAGUUGCUAGCUGUAGGUUAGUCUCCAGUCUGCUACUAAAUCUGGUUCUCUUCUUCUGAUAUGACCAGAUCUGUGCUGACUGCUCUAAGCUGGCCAGGCCCAUGUGUUUAAGGAGUAUAUGUGGUAGAGUAGGGUCAGAAUGCCCAUUGGUAGACCACCCACUGGGCUCCCCUGGGACCCAGUGACAUCUUGGACCUUCAGGGACACCUGCCAACUUGUCUGAGUCUGUCUCCCACCUCUCACCAGCGUCUCCUCCCCUCCAGCUGUCAUCGACCACCUGGGGCGGGGGGUUUUGCAGAGCUGCAGCCAUUAAUUUCCCAGUGCCUAGGCCUCUUCCUAGAGACUGAUGACAGAUUGCCCUCUCUGUCUUCAGUAAGAAGCUAAGUGUUCUUUCAGAUUUAGAAGUCAGGGGAGAGAACAGCUUAGCCUGUGUGGGUCUCAGUAUAGUUUGGUUUGAUUCCACAGCCCUUUCCAAGCAAGGCCAAGUGCAGGCAGUGUCAAGUAGGUAGCAAGCAAGAGAGAAAGAAGACAGAAGUCAGAUCCAGAAGCUCAGGGAGAUUGGACAGCAGGAAAGGGAGUCAGUUCAGAACCAGGCUGAGUGAGGCGGCUGGCUAUGUUGGGUGCAGCCCAGAUCUCUAAAGGGAAGGAAAGGGUGAAGAAGCCCUCAGCCUCAAGCAGGCCUCUUGUCUACAAAACUAAGGAGGGAAUGAGGCUGGGGAAGGCACCUCUCUCUUUUGAGAAUCCCUACAAGCCUUUCUGUUUGCCUUAAGAUAACAGGGAAGCAUUUCAGAGGGAAACAUGGGAAUGAACCGGAUCUGCCUUGGUGAACCCUUCUCAUAUAUGCUUCUGCUCAUCAGCCCACAGACACCUGUCAUAGCCCCAAGGCUUUCUCAGGGCAGGAGAGCCAGAGGGUAGAGACCUGAUCCCAUUGAGUCCCCCUCCCAAGCCCACCCCCAAUCACUAUAGAUAGUCUGGAAGUGUCUCAAACACCAGUUCCUGCUUCCUGAGGGGCAGUCUGAGAGAAGUGGGGGGCAGCCCAAAUUCCUUGGGGACAACAGACCAAAGAUGCACAGCAGCCAGUUCCGUAUGGUCACCUUCAUCUCAAGAGCACCAAGGUCAGUGGAGUCAAAGCCCUUCUUAUCUAUCCAGAGCAGGAAGGAGAAUCAAAUGAGUGGGACGGGGCAGAGGGAGCAGAGAGGCCCCUGCUGCUCCCCGUGUCCUGGCCACACAUGGCUGUCGGGCGAAUGCCUUUCUGAGUGUGGUGGGAGAGAGAAGAUGGCAAGGAGUCCUCUGAACUCCUGUGGGCCUUCUGUGGCACUCCAGUCAAGGAUGACUUUGGACUUCUGAAUGGGACACCAAGUAACACCAUUAAUAUCCGUGCCUUUCCCAGCAUCCCCAGUGUCUCAGCAGUGUUCUGUUUGCUGUGAAGAGACACCAUGACCGUGACAGCUCUUUUUGUUUGUUUGGAUUGGUUUGGGGGGUUGGGGGUGGUUGUUGUUAUUGUUUGUUUUUUAAAUGUGGUCUCUCUGAACAGUCCUGGCUCUCCUGGAACUUACAGCAGACCAGGUCAGAGAUCUGCCUACUCAGCCUCGAGGGCUGGCAUCAAAGGUGUGCACCACCACAGCGACUCUUAUAAAAGGAAAGUGUUUAGUCGGGGCUGGCUUACAGUUUUCAGAGCUUCAGCCCAUUAUCUUCAUGGCAGGGAGCGCAGCAGCAGGCAGGCAGAUGUGAUACUGGAGAAGCAGCUGAGAGUUCUACACACAGAUCCAGAGGCAGCAGGGAAAGAGAGGACCCCUGGGCCUGGCUCAAAGCCCACCCUCUAGUGACACACUUCCUCCAACAAGGCCACACCUCUUAAUCCUUUGAACUAGUGCCACUCCCCUGUGACCAAGCAUUCAACUCUAUGAGCUUAUAGAAGCUAUUUUUAUUCAAACUACCAUAUCAGAUGAACCUGCAGAGACGUGUUUUUGAGUGCCCUUCCCCCAAGCCUGAGGCUGGUGCUCCCUGGGGCAUCUGUAGUCCGCACAUCCCCUCCCUGGCCUCUGAGACCUAGGUAAGGUAGAUGUUAAGCCAGGCUGCCUUUCCCAGACCUCCCUGUGUUUAGGGUUCAGCCACAGGCUUCACCUGGUCAUGCAGCGAUGUUUCUAGCUUCUUGGCCUCUGGCCACUGGCAAGCCUGUCUAGGAUUUCACCUGCAAACAUAGCUCAGCUGCCUGGGCCAGGGAUGUCUGGAGCAGGUAUGAGCUCAGAGCUGCUGUCUGCCUCUAUGCUGCUCACAACGUGAUCUUCCUGUCCCUAGGAGUCCAGAGCACUGGGAACACGGAAGAUGGCUCUGCCCUUCCAUGUGUGUGCGGCCACUUGGUUCUCUAUCACAUUAGACAGUGGCACUGAUAGCUCCAAAUGGGUCACCAAAAGACCUUUUUACCAAACUCCCUGGUCCCAGCCACCUUGAUCAAGCCAGCAAGGAUGUCUGAAAGGGGCUCCCAGCAGGCUGUGUGUCCAACAAAGCCCUGAUCAAUACUGAAUAGGGAAGUAAGGUUAAGAGGGAAGGCGGGGUGGAGAGGAGAAGCAGCCAGCCAUUAGGUUCCUGAUGGGAGCCACAGUUCAGGAAAAAGCUCUUCUCAGAGUCAGACUACACCUCCCCUAUAUAGUCACCUGCUUUCUGGGCAUUGGUGAGGUGCAAGCUCUGAGCCAGUCCCAGGACUUCAAAGACAAAUUCAAUUCUGUUCCAUAUCAGACGUCACUCACAGUCUAAAGGUAGACACAGUCCCCAAACUAGAAUUAGUGUGCAGUGGCGCCCUCUGUAAAGCAAGCUGGGGCAGACAGGGAAGGCCAGGAGAAGGCCUCUUGAGACACACUAUCUAACCAGAAGGGGAAGGAAGACCCUGGAGAUGGUCAGGUAUUUCAGACAAAGGGAACCACAUACAUAGAGAGCCUGAGGGGGCCAUGCUCCAUUCAGGACACUCUAAAACUGUAUGGACAGUGCACACAGCCGUCAGAGCUUGAGGCCCAGUGUCUUAGAUGCCAUGGCCUGUCAUCGUCCUGGCCCUGGAUGAAGACUGGAUAGGGCAGGACAUGUGAAGGACAGAGCAUCUCCUCUGGUCACUCAGGCCACCACCGUGUGUUUCUGUCACUUCUCUAGCUGUGCCCCAGGAUUCCCGGCAGCCCAGGGCUGCAGAGACCCUGUGGGGGCCUUUUCUUCCCCUUUCCCCGCACCCCGUCAUCCUCCCACCGACACUGGGAAACUGGCAUGUACUGAACAGCCCUCUGUCUGGACUGGACCAGUACGACUGGGGCCCCAAAUUUCAGAGGGAAGGUCUGAGGUGGCCCUGGGACAGUUACUACAGGCUGACCUUACAACAAUAUGUUCUUUCCUCAGGGAUGAAGGGAGGGCAGGGUCUCAGAGGCCAGCCAGAGUCUAACAUGCUCAAGGGUUGACUUCGGGUUUGGGUGUUUUUUGUUUGUUUGUUUGUUUGUUUUGUUUUGUUUUGAGAUAGGGAGGCCUGCAACUCACUGUGUAACAUGGACUUGCCUUGAACUCAGGCAGUCCUCCUGCCUCUGCCUCCAAAGUCUUGGGAUCAUAGAUGUGAGUCACCACGCUCAGCUGAUGUUUGUAAAAAUUAAGAUGAAAUAGAGACAAAACCUAGCUCAAAAGUCGCAGUAAGUUCUCAGUCGCAGGCAGUUCCUGGUGUUUGUUUUUAUGAGACAAGGCUCGCUCUGUAGCCAUGGCUGGGCCUGAACCAUUGCCAGUCUUCUUGCCGCAACCCCGUUAGACAGUGCUGUUACCAUCCUCUGUGUUGGAAGCCAAGGCCCAGAGAUGAUGAAGUGCCUGGCCAAGGUAACACAGCUAGUUAGGUAGUUAGGUAGUAGAGGUGGGUAUAAAACCCACACUGACUGCCCCAGCAACCCCUAUGAGGAGUCUGACCACGUACCUUCCUACUUAGAAUCCUCCGUAUCACCCCCUUCCUGCCAUGGCCUAGGAGAACCCUGUUUACCAAGUUCUUACAUGUAACAACCCCAGAGCCUGCCCGCCCACAGCUGUCAGCUGGCUGGCUGCAGCAGGUGCCAUUAGCGCUCGUGAGCAGUAGGGCUGCAUGGUGAAUUGGGCAUUGCACUGUCACCCUGACUGUUCACCGUAGCCAUUCAUUCUAAUUCAGACCAGAUAGCAAAGUCAUGCCCUGCCCCGGGCUACAGCCCUCUUACUUGGCACCCUGCCCUACCUUUUCUCUGCAUCCACCCAGUCCACUGCCAGAAACUGAACGUCACCUUGGAAAGAGAAGCCGCAGAGGAGGUUGUAACUCAUGAUGUCACUUUGCCAGCAUCUGUCCCUGUCAGUCUUCUUAGUACUCCAUCUCUUGCUUGUCCUGCUGGAUCUGCAUGUGUCCAGCAGCCACACAGAGGAAACCUCACAUCCAGCAUACAGGGAAAAUAAAGGCCACCAUCAGUGGGCUUCCCAGCCUCCCACCCACAUAUGCAUAUUAGUUCCUUUUCUGUUGCUGUGAUGAAAUACCAUGACAAAGGCACUUAGAGAAGGAAGGGCUAGUGGGACUUCCAGUUCCGAGGGCUAGGAGUCCAUCGUUGCAGGAAUCGGUACAGCAGACCUUGCAGCAGGGACAGUUGAGAGCUCAUAUCUCCAGCCACAAGCAGGAAGCAGUGAGUAAACUAGAGUUGUUUUGAGGAAUCACCUCCUCCAGGAAGGCCACAACUCCAAAGCCUACCCAAACAGCUCUACCAACUGGGAAUCAAGUGUUCCAGCAUCUGAGACUGUGGUGGACACUCUCAUUCAAACCGCCACAAUAAAACCCACAUCUGUUUCUGUUCUCCUCUUCCAACACCCCUGGCCUUGAUGGCCAUCCUCUUCAUCCUCUUUUUUUUUGUUUGUUUGUUUGUUUGUUUGAGCCAGGAGGCUCUCUUCCUCUCACCUCCUCAGGGGAAUCUUCCUCAAUCUUCUUCUCGCCUGUCUUCUGAACCUCUUUUUCACAUCUGUCUGUUCAUCCAGGUCUUUCUCCCCUUAAAAAAAAAUAAACCCAUGAAGGGCUGGUGAGAUGGCUCAGUGGUUAAGAGAUUGGCUUCUUGUGCUUCCAGAGGUCCUGAGUUCAAUUCCCAGCAACCACAUGGUGGCUCGCAACCAUCUAUGGGUGGGUCUGAUGCCCUCUUCAAGCAGGCAGAUGUAUAUGCAGCAGAGCACUCAUAUACUAAAUUAAAUUUUAAAAAAAAUGGGCCUGUGAGCUGGUAGUAUGGCGCAGUGGGUAACGGCGACUGCCACCAAACCUGCUGACCUGAGGUUGCUCCCUAAAGCCACAUGGUGGGAGGAGAGGUAACUGCCUCCUAUGAAGUGUCCUCUGAGUCCCCCAACACUAGCUGUGGCAAGGUUUUAACCCAUGAUGUUGCUUUACCAGCAUCCUAUGGGUGGGUCCCAUUUCUGAGUUCUCUCUCUCUCUCUCUCUCUCACACACACACACACACACACACACACACACACACAC